CAAGACCUUCCCGCAUGCGCUGCGAGGGCACCAAAUCUAGCGGCGCCAUCCGUGAAAUCUGAGGCGGUGGCCGGACGAAACAUUCAGGUGUUGUCUUCCCCAACCUGGUUUUGGUGCUGCUACUGUGUCUUGUUGUAUUUUUACAUGGGCAACAUGGUAUGCGCACAAUAGGUUUCCCGGUCAAAGGGAAAAUAUUCUUAUUAAGUUUUAGAAGAUUCGUCGAGUUUUCGGGCUUGUACGUGUUGCUGCGAAUUGAGGAUCUGAAGAAUACUUCUGCAAAAUCACGAGUCUUCAAAGGAGGAAGUUUCUGCCAAAUUGCUGAAGUUUGGAGUUUCCUUCCAUUACCGAGAGAUGUUGAUCUCUCCGAAG